rnacentral:rRNA from 1 species
GAUGAACGCUGGCGGCGUGCCUAAUACAUGCAAGUCGAGCGAACAGACGAGGAGCUUGCUCCUCUGACGUUAGCGGCGGACGGGUGAGUAACACGUGGAUAACCUACCUAUAAGACUGGGAUAACUUCGGGAAACCGGAGCUAAUACCGGAUAAUAUAUUGAACCGCAUGGUUCAAUAGUGAAAGACGGUUUUGCUGUCACUUAUAGAUGGAUCCGCGCGGCAUUAGCUAGUUGGUAAGGUAACGGCUUACCAAGGCAACGAUGCGUAGCCGACCUGAGAGGUGGAUCGGCAACACUGGAACGGAGACACGGUCCAGACUCCUAGGGGAGGCAGCAGUGGGGAAUCUUCCGCAAGGGGCGAAAGCCUGACGGAGCAACGCCGCGUGAGUGAUGAAGGUCUUCGGUUCGUAAAACUCUGUUAUUAGGAAAGAACAAAUGUGUAAGUAACUAUGCACGUCUGGACGGUACCUAAUCAGAAGGCCCCGGCUAAUUACGG